UUCGAGUCCAAGCCUCCAGUGAGCAAGCCAAGGGUGAUGGUGGCAAGGAAAAACUCCCUAGAGCAUGAGUGUUACGUGCCGUGUUCUUUUGGUGCGUGUGUUCUAGAUUCACUGCCAGGAUUUCCCCCUGUUUGAGACUCUGCCCCAUUCCUCGCCGGGUUUUCCAGCAAACUGCUUCUGCUAUUUAAUGGCCCCUCCCAGAAGAGGAAGAGAGGAAAAGAAGGGAGACUGUUUUUGUUGGUUUUGCGUUUUCUGGUUGUUUGGCUUGUUAUUGCAAUUUUGUCUGACCUCGUUUUCCCCAUUUUAGACUUCAUCUUUGGCUUCACCCCUCCUGCUUCGGUAGCUGUUUUAUAGGUUUGUUUAGGGUGUAUUUCUUUUUUCCAUUAGUGUGGGUUUUGUUUAUUGUUUUUGCCUGGGUCACUCCUGAAGAAAUUGCACCACAUAGAUGGGGUCGUAACAUGAGGAAGAAAGCUUGUGAGGAACCAUGAUGUGCCAACGUCUGAUACAGAUUCCUGUUCAAGGCCUUGCAAUCCAGAAUGGAUCCGCUUUUCUGGAAAAGGAAAUCUACUCUCUGCAGAGGCCAAUAUACAUCUGCAUUUGACCACUCCUUUUCUGAAGUGGGCAGCAUUUUCAGUAGAAGUACUGCUCUUCUGGUGUUCUCUUGCACUGAGGGGACAAAACAACUGCAAUGAGCACAGGACUGACCUUCAUCACCCCUUGCUGAAUGAGAGGGGAG